rfam:Candidatus Pacearchaeota archaeon CG1_02_31_27 cg1_0.2_scaffold_40_c, whole genome shotgun sequence.
GCCCCCGUAGUCUAGAGGCCAAGGAUGCAGCCCUCUCACGGCUGUGACACGAGUUCAAAUCUCGUCGGGGGCA